CGAUAAUUUUUUGCAGCCCUCGCUGAAGCAAAGAUAAAGAAGUGAAGAAAAACCCAAUAUGCAUACGCUGCGUGCGGCAUAGAAUUCUUCAC